AGCACUUGUGGGUGUUUUUGUUCAACUGGUGAACAAAGGCAACGGAGAUAAGUGUGAAAAUAAAUCCCCCCUUUUUUUGCAACCUAGAAUCCAUUGCUCAGUAUUCGUUUUGAUACAUAUAAAGAGGAACAUG